rnacentral:rRNA from 1 species
UCCUACGGGAGGCAGCAGUCGAGAAUCUUUCGCAAUGCCCGAAAGGGUGACGAUGCGACGCCGCGUGAGCGAUGAAGGCCUUCGGGUUGUAAAGCUCUGUUAGGUCGGAUGAAACUCCGACGCAAGUCGGAAUUGACAGUACGAUCAGAGGAAGCCACGGCUAACUCCGUGCCAGCAGCCGCGGUAAUACGGGGGUGGCAAGCGUUGUUCGGAUUUAUUGGGUGUAAAGAGCGUGUAGGUGUCCUGCUAAGUUUUCGGUGAAAUCCUUAGGCUUAACCUAAGAACUGCCGGAAAAACUGGUGGGAUUGAGUAUGGGAGAGGAGAGUGGAAUUCCCGGUGUAAGGGUGAAAUCUGUAGAUAUCGGGAGGAACACCAGUAGCGAAGGCGACUCUCUGGCCCAAAACUGACACUGAGAUGCGAAAGCUAGGGUAGCAAACAGGAUUAGAUACCCCGGUAGUCCAAGCCGAAUUCCAGCA